rnacentral:rRNA from 1 species
GAUGAACGCUGGCGGCGUGCCUAAUACAUGCAAGUCGAGCGAACAGACGAGGAGCUUGCUCCUUUGACGUUAGCGGCGGACGGGUGAGUAACACGUGGAUAACCUACCUAUAAGACUGGGAUAACUUCGGGAAACCGGAGCUAAUACCGGAUAACAUGUUGAACCGCAUGGUUCAACAGUGAAAGACGGUCUUGCUGUCACUUAUAGAUGGAUCCGCGCCGCAUUAGCUAGUUGGUAAGGUAACGGCUUACCAAGGCAACGAUGCGUAGCCGACCUGAGAGGGUGAUCGGCCACACUGGAACUGAGACACGGUCCAGACUCCUACGGGAGGCAGCAGUAGGGAAUCUUCCGCAAUGGGCGAAAGCCUGCCGGAGCAACGCCGCGUGAGUGAAGAAGGUCUUCGGAUCGUAAAACUCUGUUAUUAGGGAAGAACAAAUGUGUAAGUAACUAUGCACGUCUUGACGGUACCUAAUCAGAAAGCCACGGCUAACUACGUG